CAAUAGAAGAAUAUUACGAACACUCUGUUUAAAAUUCAAAGGAUUUGGCGGUGUCUUAUAUAAUCAGGGGAACCUGUCUCAUAACUCGAUAGUCCACGACUUAAAUCUACCUUUUUUAGAAAAACCAACAUGUGUACUGCCGUCGUAAGCGAACCUCUAAAAGAAAGUACGCAAAUAUGAAGUAAAUCAUUUACGUCAGGUCAAAGUGCAGUUCAUGAACAGGAGACGAUGGGUUACAACCUUAAUACAGACAACGAAUUUAAUAUAUAAUUUAUAUUACUGAAGGAGGACUUGACUGUAAUUAUAAGCUUAUUAUAAAGAAAUGAAUAAUUUAAGACAUGCACACAU
rnacentral:rRNA from 1 species